UACAGAGGUCCCAAGCGUUGUUCGGAUUCAUUGGGCGUAAAGGGUGCGUAGGUGGCGUCGUAAGUCGAGUGUGAAAUCUCGGGGCUUAACUCCGAAACUGCAUUCGAUACUGCGGUGCUUGAGGACUGGAGAGGAGACUGGAAUUUACGGUGUAGCAGUGAAAUGCGUAGAGAUCGUAAGGAAGACCAGUGGCGAAGGCGGGUCUCUGGACAGUUCCUGACACUGAGGCACGAAGGCCAGGGGAGCAAACGGG
rnacentral:rRNA from 1 species